UUCAUCAGAAAAAUUACAAGCAGUACUUCUUAUCUUGGUAUCUCACACUGGCUAUGCUUUGUCUCUUGCCCUUUGUGCAGUUUUGGUUGCUUCUCUUUCUCCCACAGUAACUCCACUGUAUUUCAGUGGAAUGUAUCCAGAGAGACAGUGUAUCUUUCCAUGUCCCUAACACCACACACUGACAGUAAAGGUUCUAGUUCACAAAGGAAAUUCCUUGUUUGCCAGCGACUCCAGAAGAGCUGAAUGGAGCUACAUUUUGUAAUGGCUGAAUGAAGGCAUGGAGGCAGCAAUCUUGGAGCUCACAUCUAGAAUUACAAACAGAACAAUGAGAUUGAAUUUAAAAUGGUUUGAGUCUCUAAACUCUAAAAACCUUCGUCCAGAUACAUACCUUCUUCAGCAAGGCCUCACUUCUUAUGCCUCCCUAAACCAUGUGGACUAAUUAUGUAAAUGUUGUAGACUAUGGGAGGCAUAUCAUUAAAACUACCACAGUUACAUUUAUUAACCAAUUUGUCUGUAUAGCCAUUCCCUUGUUUCAAGGUUUCUAGUCCCUGACAUGAUUCUCUCUCAUUGAGUGGGCCCUAACUCCAAUUUGCCAGUCACUGGUUAGCACUAACAUGUGAAAGCCAUUUAUUUCAACUUUUCAGAUGUCUCUCCAUACUUGCUAUUGUGGUGGUUCAUAGGUGCCACAUCUGAAUAGGACUAUUAAGUGUUUUUCAUAUAGUAUUUAAUGGAACUAUGAAAGCUAGACUUUAAGAAGAAGACUGUGUUUCUAUAAUACAAAUUAUAAUUGGACUUGAGAAGAGAUUUUCCCUCACUCAUGACAAGUAGAUGCACACAACUAUGAUAACUUUUAUGUUAGUGCAAGAGAUCUAAACUGGGGUUCAUUAAUCUACUGAGCCCUCUCUCUAGUCCUGCAAAAGUGUUUUCUUACCUUAAAAAUAAAUUGCAGCCAUUUAUACGACUAACAUGCUUAAAGAUAUUUGGAUCUCUUUCCCUUGGGAGAUCAAAAUGUUCUGUUCUGUUAUAAAAUAUGUUGACUGCUUAACAUAGGUUUUUCUGUACAAAAAGAGUGCCCCUUAAGCCUCUACCCUCAGGACAGGACAAGCUGCUGUGAUUUUAGAAUCUAGCUUAGAAAUUCCCAUGUCAACCAUCAUGCUUUCAGCUGUACAUCUUGAUCCAUGGUUUUCCUUACUCCCUUACUCCCGCAUAUAUUUGUUACACUUCCAUCAGUUGCAUUUUCUCUUACCAAUGAGUUUACUCCCUCCCCAACUCAGUGAAAAGCACUCUGUCAGCCAUGUUCCUUCUAGAACGCUGGAGCUGGAAGUGGUACUAGCAACAAUUGCCAGUAUUUUUAAACUGAGUUUUCUUUUCUUUAAGGUGUAUAUUCUUAUAAUUUUCAUUUUCCUUCUUUUUUCAGUUCUCUUAUUUUUUCCAGCACUAUGUUUUAUAAAUAGCACUUUGGUAGAUGACUGUAAGCUUCCAGACUUGGGAAAAACCAUUAAAUACUGAUUCAUAUCUUGGAUAUAAAAUCCUUAUUCCCGAAUCUCCUACAGCUGUGGAGAUAAGGCAACAAUGCUGAUAAUAAGGUCUGAUAAUCAGACACAUGUUUUGUCUGAGUGAGACAGUGGGGUACGCACCUAUUCACUAUCAGGUACCUUACUUUAAAAUUAUAAACUUUGACAUUCUUUCAUCAUUUUUUACUUUUUGUGAGAAAAAAACCUGAGUUUUUCUUAUAUAAUAUAUCCUGAUUACAAUUUUUUCUCCCCAUAAGCCUCUCCAUUCCUUCCCACCUCUUCCUAUCAUCUGCAUUCACUCCUUUUCUGCCUCUCAUUAAAAAACAAAGGCAUCUGGGGAAUUAGUAUAAGAUAACACAGAACCAACUCAUUGUGAUUGGAUAAAACAGACAGAAGGAAAAGAGCCCAAGAGAAGACACAAGAAACGGAGACCCACUCAUUUGCACACUCAGGAAUCCUAUAACAUCACUAAAAUGGAAACCAUAAAAUAUAUGUUAAGGGCCUGGUGUAGCCCUGUGCAGGCACUGUGCAUACACCUUCAGUCUCUGCAAGCUUAUUUGUCCUUUGAUCUUAUUGAUUUAGAGGGAUUUUUUUUUUUUUUUUUUUUGCCUUUAAGAGUAAGAUAAAAACAGGGAUUUGUCAAUCUGGCUUUGAGAUCUCUGAAUAUUAAAUGCCAAUUGAUUCUCACU
rnacentral:lncRNA from 1 species